AGGACGAACGCUGGCGGCGUGCCUCAUACAUGCAAGUGGAGCGACGAACCAGGAUUUAUCCUGGGGCAAAGCCGCGAACGGGUGAGUAACACGUGGGUUACCUGCCCCGAUGAUUGGGACAACCCGAGGAAAACUCGGGCUAAUACCAAAUGUGUUCUUGGUCGUGAUGACCAAGAAGAAAGGAAGCCUCGGCCUCCGCAUCGGGAUGGGCCCGCGGCCCAUUAGCUAGUUGGUGGGGUAAUGGCCUACCAAGGCGACGAUGGGUAGCUGGUCUGAGAGGACGAUCAGCCACACUGGGACUGAGACACGGCCCAGACUCCUACGGGAGGCAGCAGUGGGGAAUAUUGCGCAAUGGGCGAAAGCCUGACGCAGCGACGCCGCGUGGGGGAUGAAGGCCUUCGGGUUGUAAACCCCUUUCAGCAGGGACGAAGCGAAAGUGACGGUACCUGCAGAAGAAGCGCCGGCUAACUACGUGCCAGCAGCCGC
rnacentral:rRNA from 1 species